rnacentral:rRNA from 1 species
UACGGGGGGGGCAAGCGUUGUUCGGAAUUACUGGGCGUAAAGGGUUCGUAGGUGGCCGACUAAGUCAGACGUGAAAUCCCUCAGCUCAACUGGGGAACUGCGUCUGAGACUGGCCGGCUUGAGUGCAGGAGAGGAACGCGGAAUUCCAGGUGUAGCGGUGAAAUGCGUAGAUAUCUGGAGGAACACCGGCGGCGAAGGCGGCGUUCUGGACUGCUACUGACACUGAGGAACGAAAGCCAGGGGAGCAAACGGG